rnacentral:rRNA from 1 species
UACGUAGGGAGCAAGCGUUGUCCGGAAUCAUUGGGCGUAAAGCGCGCGUAGGUGGCUUCGUAAGUCCGUUGUGAAAGUCAAAGGCUCAACCUUUGAAAGCCGAUGGAUACUGCGGAGCUAGAGUACGGAAGAGGCGAGUGGAAUUCCAGGUGUAGCGGUGAAAUGCGUAGAUAUCUGGAGGAAUACCGGUGGCGAAGGCGGCAUCCUGGACCGGCAUUGACGCUGAGGAGCGAAAGCCAGGGGAGCAAACGGG